rnacentral:lncRNA from 1 species
UGAAACUAUUUUGGAUUCGCCAGUGUAGUGCCGGAUGUGAUGAAUUUGCUUGGGGAUUACAAGUAACUUGUUCCAUUCGAAGUAACUUGUUCUGCAUUUUUUUUUCGUCAUAUCAAUCAGACAUCAACAUCUUGAAAAUUUCAUUACACAGGUGAUAAACUUGACAGAAACAAACGACUUCAAAUCAGAUGAAAAUAAGAAAAUAAAAACAAGCAGACAGUAUUAAUACAAAUACUUCAUAGUUUCCUUUAUUUCAAAGGCCGAACAGCAAGCAUAGUUGAAGGUAGAACAUUCAGCAUGAUUCAUUCGAGGUUGUUGACAUACUUUUGAUUGAAACUUAGAGUUUGUUGCAUCGGAGACUAUUCUUAAUUAUCGGACACAAAGCCUUGAUUAGGUUGCGACUCGAUCUCCUUGGCGAACUCGUUGGAAGGAAGUCCGUCCUUGUAGCCGAAAGCUUGAUUAGGUUGUGACUCGAUCCCCUUGGCGAACUCGUUGGAAGGAAGUCCGUUCUUGUAGCCGAAAGUUUGAUUAGGUUGCGACUCGAUCCCCUUGGCGAACUUGUUAGAAGGGAGUCCGUUCUUGUAGGAGAACGCUUGAUUUGGUUGCGACUCGAUCCCCUUGGCGAACUCGCUGGAAGGAAGUCCGUUCUUGUAGCCGAAAGCUUGAUUAGGUUGUGACUCGAUCCCCUUGGCGAACUCGCUGGAAGGAAGUCCGUUCUUGUAGCCGAAAGCUUGAUUUGGUUGCGACUCGAUCCCCUUGGCGAACUCGUUGGAAGGAAGUCCGUUCUUGUAGCCGAAAGCUUGAUUUGGUUGCGACUCGAUCCCCUUGGCGAACUCGUUGGAAGGAAGUCCGUUCUUGUAGCCGAAAGCUUGAUUAGGUUGCGACUCGAUCCCCUUGGCGAACUCGCUGGAAGGAAGUCCGUUCUUGUAGCCGAAAGCUUGAUUUGGUUGCGACUCGAUCCCCUUGGCGAACUCGCUGGAAGGAAGUCCGUUCUUGUAGCCGAAAGCUUGAUUUGGUUGCGACUCGAUCCCCUUGGCGAACUCGUUGGAGGGAAGUCCAUCAUCACAAUGAACACCAUCGUGAACGGAAUUCGCAACUGGCACUAGAGAUUCGAUUGCUUUGGGCAUUGGCUGAUCUUUCAUCACAGAUCUCCAGUAAUCGUCUAUUGGGUGUUUCCUUGCAUUGACACGACCUCCCAACUGCA